CCUGCCGCCGCUCGCCGCCUCUUUGUCUGCUCCGGGACUUGGAACAAAAGGGGGAACUCUGAUGAACUCUCCUCUCUCCCCCGGGCGCCCGGGUAUCUCCCUCGCGCAACUUGGCCGCGGCCACUUUCCCCGCUGUCAGGCGUCACCAAAGUGUCCCAGCGCCUCGCAGAUGGCCCCGAGGAAAAUGUCUCUUAAAAGUGCGCCCAAGUGGGACAGAAGGAGGAAUUGUCAUUCUCAGCGUCCAGAAGGCAUCACACCACUGCUGGCGACCCUCCUUGCGCUGACCUUCUUCACACUACAUUGUUCUUACUGGAUCUUUCUAUCAGUGAACACUAUGGAACUAUCAGUACAAGGUGAAAUCAUCCCUGGAUGAAAAGUCAACAAACUUCUUCUUCACUUGGAGUUACUUGAAAAUUAAAAUGUUGGGACUUUUGAGGAUGCCUUGCCUGUGUGGAUUACUAGCAUUUGAUUACUGGGAAUUCUCCGCCUUACACAAGAACGUUUUGCUAUCUGGAAACUCAUGCCCACCUCUUUGACUUCGGAUCAAAAUUGCUUUUCUCACAGUCUGAAUGGGAAAGUUGUACUGGAUUGUACUUCAGAGGUGGGCUGUGGAAAGUCAUGUGACUACAGGAGCCUUCACACCCAGCAUAUUCAGAUUAGCGACUUUCUGGAUGGGGAAGUUUCCAGAUAAAGGUGUGAAUCACGGCGACACAGUGGAAGACCAUGAUUUACUGCAUGGGCCACCUGCUUGUGGAUGACGAUGAAGGGAUGUAUGUGCAAGACCCCAAGAUUUACUUCCUUCCUGUUCCAGUGGGGAUAGCCAAAAGAGUUAUCCCUGUGUUAUCACAGAAUAUACUUCUCAUCGACCUCUGAUCUGUGGAUGGCUGUUUUCUGUUGUCAGUUCUGUUGUCAGGACCAGAUGUCCUCAAAACUAGCAGACUGCAAAAUGAAGUGGCUAUGAUCUGUUGAGUCCAAGUGUGACUGCCAAGAGGCAUCCAGAAAAGCCGGAGAGUCCAAGCAUGCCAGACCUUCCUGUAGCCUGCCACACACACACACAACACCUCAAGGAAAUGAGUGAGGAUCACUGGGAAGGAGGGAGCCAACCA